rnacentral:lncRNA from 1 species
GGUGUCAGAAUCAUUGAUAAUAUUCUCUAUAAAUCUGGGCAAAUUACAAUAGUUUGACUUAAGAUAAAGAUAACGUGACAUAUUUUUUCAGACAGAUAGAGUGGUAGAUAUUUACGAGAUUUAUUAUUUGAAAAGACCAAUGAACUGUGAUUAUGGAUUUGUAUAGCCUUGUGGACAAUCUAUAUAAAGUAGGAGAUUUCGGUCUUAAACAAAAUUUGUGAUAGAGGUCGGAGCUAACCA